AUGAGGUCAUCAGCCCCACGUCGCCUCGGCAGGGCUACACGUCUCGGAGCGGAUCGACCGCGACGCCGCCACGCAGCCCGACCUGGAGGAGGCGCUCGAGGCCUCGCGCUACGCCUCCCACCCCUACUCCUCGCAUCCCGCGAAGCUGCACGAGCCCCUCUCCAUCUCUCUGUCCUUCCUGGAGAUGAGAGAGGCUCGGCUGCUCCUUGUAGGUUGGUGGUGAGGAGCAAGGGGGCCGAGAAGUCAGCCGCCAACGGGAAGAAGGGCAAGGCCGACAAGAGUUCUUUGUUCGCAGACAAGCAGGGUUUCUUCCUGCCAGUAGCGAUGUUGGAAAAGAUCGGGUUGCCGCCCAAGCCGUCGAUGCGAGGGGCGACCUGGGUGCUGGAUGCCUCCAACUGCCAGGGCUGUGCCGCUCAGUUCUCCUUGUUUACACGGAAGAUUGGCAAGGCCGGUGGUGAGAAGUGGAAGUCCCAAGUGAUGUUCAACGACGAGGUCGCUACACCGAGCCUGUCGGUCCGCAGCGGCGACCCAGGGCAGGGCUGCAGCAAGGACGCCCCGAAGGACGGGCCGCCGAGCGACGGCGACGACGGAGGUCGCUACACCGAGCCUGUCGGUUGGUCUUACGAGAAUGGAGAGCUGCUGCUGAUCUACGAGUACAUGCCCAAUGGCAGCGUAGACAAGCACCUGUUCCACGAAAGGCAGCAGCACCGUGGCCACCAACAGCCAGUUCUGCCCUGGGAGAGACGCUACGACAUUGUGAAGGACGUCGCCGCCGGUUUGCACUACGUCCACCACGAGUACGAGCGCACGGUGCUCCACCGCGACAUCAAGGCCAGCAACAUCAUGCUCGACUCCGCCUUCCGCGGCCGCCUCGGCGACUUCGGCCUCGCGCGAGUCGUCGGCUUCGACAAGAACUCCUUCACCGACGUCGGCGUCGCGGGCACCUGGGGCUUCAUCGCGCCGGAGUACCCCGUCAGCCACAAGGCCACCCGGCAGACCGACGUCUACGCGUUCGGGGUGCUGGUCCUCGAGGUCGUCACCGGCAGGAGGUCGCUCGGCAAAGCGGACGACGAGUUCCCGCUGCUCGUCGACUGGGCCUGGUGGCUCCAUCAGGAGGGGAGGCUGCUCGAAGCGGUUGACGCCGAGCUCCGAGCUUCGGAGGCGGGGUUCGACGCCGACGAUGCCGCCCGGCUGCUGCUCCUUGGUCUGUCCUGCAGCAACCCGAACCCAUCGGACCGGCCGACCCUGGCCAACGUGCUGCAGGUUGUCGCCAGGACGGCACCGCUGCCGGACGUGCCGCUGGUGAAGCCCGCGUUCGUGUGGCCGCCGGAGGGGGCGUUACUGGACGACGACGUGGAUGAUGGUUUUGCGGGGACGAGCCGUGAUGAUUCUCGUUACUGGGAGGAGGAGGAGACCAUGCCGAGCUUCAUUGCGUUCGGCCGUCGUUUCGAGGUACAUAACAUCCGCCGCCGCCGCUGCGGGAAGAUGGCCUUGCCGGCGAUCCCCGAUGAGCUCCUGGUGGAGAUUCUCCUCCGCCUCCCCACCGCAGCCGAUCUCAUCCGCGCCUCCGCCGUCUGCGUCUCCUUCCGUCGGCUCGUCGCCGACCGCUCCUUCCUCCGGCACCGCUUCAAGUUCGCCGUCCCGCCUCACCCCCCGCGCUGGCGCCAGCGCCGCCGACUUCUCCUUCGCCUUUCUCCCCGCCCCUGCGCCGGACUGGUCCAUACGGGAAGUCCGCGAUGGCCGCACAAGCACCUGUUCCACGAAAGGCAGCAGCACCGUGGCCACCAACAGCCAGUUCUGCCCUGGGAGAGACGCUACGACAUUGUGAAGGACGUCGCCGCCGGUUUGCACUACGUCCACCACGAGUACGAGCGCACGGUGCUCCACCGCGACAUCAAGGCCAGCAACAUCAUGCUCGACUCCGCCUUCCGCGGCCGCCUCGGCGACUUCGGCCUCGCGCGAGUCGUCGGCUUCGACAAGAACUCCUUCACCGACGUCGGCGUCGCGGGCACCUGGGGCUUCAUCGCGCCGGAGUACCCCGUCAGCCACAAGGCCACCCGGCAGACCGACGUCUACGCGUUCGGGGUGCUGGUCCUCGAGGUUGUCGCCAAGACGGCACCGCUGCCGGACGUGCCGCUGGUGAAGCCCGCGUUUGUGUGGCCGCCGGAGGGGGCAUUACUGGACGACGACGUGGAUGAUGGUUUUGCGGGGACGAGCCGUGAUGAUUAUCGGUACUGGGAGGAGGAGGAGACCAUGCCGAGCUUCAUGUCGUCGGAGAUCACCAAGCGCAGGGCUCGGAAUGUUGAUCAGCACAAGGACGCGGGGGAGAUAGAGAGUUACGUUGUGACGAGCCGUGAUGAUUCUCGUUACUGGGAGGAGGAGGAGACCAUGCCGAGCUUCAUGUCGUCAGAGAUCACCAAGCGCAGGGCUCGGAAUGUUGACGAGCACAAGGACGCGGGGGAGAUAGAGAGUUAUGUGUAA
rnacentral:rRNA from 1 species